UACGUAGGGUCCAAGCGUUAUCCGGAAUCACUGGGCGUAAAGCGUGCGUAGGUGGCGUGUUAAGUGAGAUGUGAAACCGUGUGGCUCAACCAUACGUUGUGUCUCAUACUGGCAUGCUAGAGGACGGCAGAGGCAAGUGGAAUUACGAGUGUAGCAGUGAAAUGCGUAGAUAUUCGUAGGAACACCAAUGGCGAAGGCAGCUUGCUGGGCCACUCCUGACACUGAGGUACGAAAGCGUGGGGAGCGAACAGG
rnacentral:rRNA from 1 species